CCCUUAGAUGUUCUGGGCCGCACGCGCGCUACACUGAUGCAUUCAACGAGUUUCUUCCUGGUCCGAGAGGAAUGGGUAACCUUUUGAAAGUGCAUCGUGAUAGGGAUAGACUAUUGCAAUUAUUGGUCUUCAACGAGGAAUUCCUAGUAGACGUAGUUCAUCAGACUGCAUCGAUUACGUCCCUGCCCUUUGUACACACCGCCCGUCGCUCCUACCGAUUGAAUGAUCCGAUGAAUAUCAUGGAUUGAGGAUGCAAGCAGGUUCGCCUGUCUUCAUCUUCGAGAAGUGAAGUAAAUCUUAUCAUUUAGAGGAAGGAGAAGUCGUAACA
rnacentral:rRNA from 1 species